CAGAGGGGGCAAGCGUUAUUCGGAAUUAUUGGGCGUAAAGGGCGCGUAGGCGGCCUGGCAAGUGGAAGGUGUAAUCCCUCGGCUUAACCGAGGAACUGCCUCCCAAGCUGCUUGGCUUGAGACCGGGAGAGGUGAGUGGAAUUCCCAGUGUAGCGGUGAAAUGCGUAGAUAUUGGGAGGAACACCAGUGGCGAAGGCGGCUCACUGGACCGGUACUGACGCUGAUGCGCGAAAGCGUGGGGAGCAAACGGGAUUAGAUACCCGGUAGUCCACGCCGUAAACGAUGAAUGCUUGGUGUAGCGGGUAUCGACCCCUGCUGUGCCGAAGUCAACACAUUAAGCAUUCCGCCUGGGGAGUACGGUCGCAAGGCUG
rnacentral:rRNA from 1 species